AAAUUUUGUUCAAUAUUCCAUCUCCAUCGAGAUAUUAAAAGACAUCAGCUAAUGUUUGUAUAAGUCAUCAAGGAGUCCAAAAAGUUCUGCUCCUCUGAAGACUUUUCUUUCCCCACGAAGUAUGCGGAAAGAGAGGAGGAAAAGGAACAGCAGAAUUUAGGAGCGGGUGCCGAGUACGUUCCCUCUUUGCUUUUCUCCCAAGCAAGCUACCCUCUCCACAAGGAAAAACCGCACGGGAUUCAGCCCUUUCGGAAAGGCAGCAUGCGAUGUCCAAUAGAAUUAUAGAAGCACGUCAACUGGCUUCGUUUUUCUUCGCACACAUCUGGGAAUUUGACAGUAGCCACACCUUAAUAAAACUAAAGUAGGUAGAACACCAAAGAUACCAUCAGGGCGGUAGUGCUUCCCUUUAACCUAAUGCACUCAAAUCCAGUCCUUAACGCUGAGAACCAAUUACGUAACAUCCGUAUCAACUCUCCACUCUUGCAGGCUUGAGAGAAAAUAACGUACACGUAAAAGCUUGCCAUCUCUCUCCUGGGACAAUCACGCGCAUCUCACCAAGAUACUGUUGAUUCUCCACUGGAUAUUCCAUUUAAUCGUUGAAUUUGUUAGAUUUUUUAUUCGUUAAGAAUGUAUAUUUAGAACUUUCAAUAAUUUUAUUUCUAUAUCUAAAUACAAGAUGGAUUGCAGCUUAAACAAAUAUGUAUAAAAUAUUUAAAAUAUAUUUAACAAAUAUUCAACAAAUUUGUCGGAUGAUUUAAAUUUAUGAAUAAGGUAUCUUUUAUUUGCAUUCAGAAACAAAAUUGUGCAAAGAUCACUCUAUAUCAUUGUGUAGAAAAAUCAUUUAAAAAAAAGAUAAAAGUACUGAUUAUAUAAAUUUUUAUGCAAAAUUCUUUUUGAUCCCUACUCAAGUCUCCUUUCCAACUCCCUGUCUCUCUCUCUCUCUCUGCGUGCGCUCACAUGUGCAUAUGACUUUUAGUAGUGGCUCUUGUGGAAGCCUACUAAUAACUUUUCCAUCUCACGCUCUCUUUCGAAUGUAGACGCCUAGAGGGGUCUAUUCUCUGUGG
rnacentral:lncRNA from 1 species